AGAUUUAAAAUAUAAAAGAAAUGUAAACUAUUGUGGUCAUUUUACAUAAGUAAAUUAUUAUUUAAUUAUUUUAAAUCACAUAUCAACUGUUUUUCUCCGUAUUUCUGUAUAUUUCUGUUUCAUUUAAGAAGGUGGUAAAAGAUUCAGAAGAACUCCAUUCAUUUAAUGAUUUGUUAUAUCAGGAAAAUGCCUAAGUAUGAGAGGAAAGCCAUUUAAGUAAAGUACCUUCUGAGCCAUGGUUUUUUUCAUCAGACCCGUUAAAGCAGAUCUUUUAACAAAGCAUUUGUAAUUUCAUUAACUACUUCUGCCAUGUCUUCUGGAAAAGGCUCCGUAUCACGACAUUCUCUUCCAGCAAGCCUUAUAACGGACACUACAGAAGAGAUGGAGGAAGGGAGGGAAAAGAAUUACAGUCAUUUCAAGAAAAAACAGUAACAUCAUUUUUACUAAAUUUUCUAUUCUGCAGAGUAUACAGAUUAUUUAAAUUAAUCCUUUUUGUAGUUGAUACAGUGUAUUUGCUAUUGCUACUGCUAUAUUUUAAUCCUGUGAUUAAAGACAGAUCAGGUUUCCUUCCUUAACUGACAAGUGUUGCCUCUCCCACUGAUCAAAUUUAUAAAUGCCUUAAGUCAGAAAUCCAGUUAAAAUGAUAACAAGGUCAUGAUCUCAGCUGAGGUUUUGAAACAAUUUUAUUGCUGUAGGCAUUAAUAAAAAUAACGAUUUCAAU